AUUGAACGCUGGCGGCAGGCCUAACACAUGCAAGUCGAGCGGAAACGAUCCUAGCUUGCUAGGAGGCGUCGAGCGGCGGACGGGUGAGUAAUGCAUAGGAAUCUGCCCGGUAGUGGGGGAUAACCUGGGGAAACCCAGGCUAAUACCGCAUACGUCCUACGGGAGAAAGCGGGGGACCUUCGGGCCUCGCGCUAUCGGAUGAGCCUAUGUCGGAUUAGCUGGUUGGUGAGGUAACGGCUCACCAAGGCGACGAUCCGUAGCUGGUCUGAGAGGAUGAUCAGCCACACUGGGACUGAGACACGGCCCAGACUCCUACGGGAGGCAGCAGUGGGGAAUAUUGGACAAUGGGGGCAACCCUGAUCCAGCCAUGCCGCGUGUGUGAAGAAGGCUUUCGGGUUGUAAAGCACUUUCAGUGGGGAAGAAGGCCUGCGGGUUAAUAGCCGGCAGGGACGACAUCACCCACAGAAGAAGCACCGGCUAACUCCGUGCCAGCCGCCGCCGUAAUAC
rnacentral:rRNA from 1 species